rnacentral:rRNA from 1 species
CCUACGGGAGGCAGCAGUGGGGGAUAUUGCACAAUGGGGGGAACCCUGAUGCAGCGACGCCGCGUGGGUGAAGGAGUGCUUCGGCAUGUAAAGCCCUAUCGGCAGGGAAGAAGCAAGACGGUACCUGAAUAAGAAGCCCCGGCUAACUACGUGCCAGCAGCCGCGGUAAUACGUAGGGGGCGAGCGUUAUCCGAAUUCACUGGGUGGAAAGGGAGCGUAGACGGCCAUGCAAGCCAGGGGUGAAAGCCCGGGGCCCAACCCCGGGACUGCCCGUGGAACUGCAUGGUUGGAGUGCGGGGGGGGCAGGCGGAAUUCCUGGUGUCGCGGGGAAAUGCGGUGAUGUCAGGGGGAACACCGGCGGCGAAGGCGGCCUGCUGGACCGCGACUGACGUGGGGGCUCGAAAGCGUGGGGAGCGAACAGGAUUAGAUACCCUGGUAGUC